CCUACGGGAGGCAGCAGUGAGGAAUAUUGGUCAAUGGGCUUACGCCUGAACCAGCCAAGUCGCGUGAGGGAAGACUGCCCUAUGGGUUGUAAACCUCUUUUGUCAGGGAGCAAUUGGCGCUACGUGUAGCGUUAUCGAGAGUACCUGAAGAAAAAGCAUCGGCUAACUCCGUGCCAGCAGCCGCGGUAAUACGGAGGAUGCGAGCGUUAGCCGGAUUGAUUGGGUUUAAAGGGUGCGUAGGCGGAAUGCCAAGUCAGCGGUAAAAUCGCGGGGCUCAACCUCGCUCCGCCGUUGAAACUGGCGUUCUUGAGUGGGCGAGAAGUAUGCGGAAUGCGUGGUGUAGCGGUGAAAUGCAUAGAUAUCACGCAGAACUCCGAUUGCGAAGGCAGCAUACCGGCGCCCAACUGACGCUGAAGCACGAAAGCGUGGGUAUCGAACAGGAUUAGAUACCCCUGUAGUC
rnacentral:rRNA from 1 species